rnacentral:snoRNA from 1 species
ACCCUCCAGAUUCCUGAGCCCUCAAACCUGAACCGGGGUCUGAGUGGCUUAAAGACAAAAGGAGGAAAGUGACACUGAAAUGGACUUGGAGUCUGUGACAAACUAGUUCACUUCAAACAAUC